UACAUGUGGGGCAAGCGUUGUUCGGAAUUACUGGGCAUAAAGGGUGCGUAGGCGGCCUUGUAAGUCAGUGCUGAAAUACCCCGGCUUAACCGGGGGGGUGGCAUUGAUACUGCAGGGCUUGAGUACAGAUGAGGUAGGCGGAAUUGACGGUGUAGCGGUGAAAUGCAUAGAUAUCGUCAAGAACACCGAUAGCGAAGGCAGCUUACUGGGCUGUAACUGACGCUGAUGCACGAAAGUGUGGGGAUCAAACAGG
rnacentral:rRNA from 1 species